GGAGAGUGCAGGGCCGUGUCCAGCCAUCCUGCUUGUUCAAAGGGAAGUGAUCUGGCGCAGUUAUGAUGCUGACAGCAGUGGAUUUAUUUCAGCUGGUGAGCUCAAAGAUUUCCUGCGAGAUCUCUUUUUGCAGCAUAACAAGACGGUUGCUGAAGUAAAGCUGGAAGAAUAUACUGAUACCAUGGUAAGAAAA